rnacentral:rRNA from 1 species
GAUGAACGCUGGCGGCGUGCCUAAUACAUGCAAGUCGAGCGAACAGACGAGGAGCUUGCUCCUCUGACGUUAGCGGCGGACGGGUGAGUAACACGUGGAUAACCUACCUAUAAGACUGGGAUAACUUCGGGAAACCGGAGCUAAUACCGGAUAAUAUAUUGAACCGCAUGGUUCAAUAGUGAAAGACGGUUUUGCUGUCACUUAUAGAUGGAUCCGCGCCGCAUUAGCUAGUUGGUAAGGUAACGGCUUACCAAGGCGACGAUGCGUAGCCGACCUGAGAGGGUGAUCGGCCACACUGGAACUGAGGCACGGUCCAGACUCCUACGGGAGGCAGCAGUAGGGAAUCUUCCGCAAUGGGCGAAAGCCUGACGGAGCAACGCCGCGUGAGUGAUGAAGGUCUUCGGAUCGUAAAACUCUGUUAUUAGGGAAGAACAAAUGUGUAAGUAACUAUGCACGUCUUGACGGUGCCUAAUCAGAAAGCCACGGCUAACUACGUG